GGUAGGCCUCGAGGGAUCGGAAUACCGGAGUGGUGUUCAAUUUCUGAGGUGAUACCGGAUCGCAAGGGAAUAAUUACCGGGACACACACGUUGCACGAGAGUUAAGUGGACAUUAAUGGAAAUGCACGCAAAGCUCGACAGCGUUUAAAUACAAAAAAUUAAAAGCAGAAAUCGGGAAUGGAUUUUGCACACACCAGCGAAGAGAAAGAAAGUGCUACAUUUCGCAGGAAAGUACUCACCCAUCUUUCGAUAAUCGAUUCACUUUGACAAACAGUACGAACACUAAAACGAAGAGCAGCAACAGAGCACCACCAACAAUACCGGCUGCUAUAGCAAAAUACAGCAACAAGUCAUCGGUUCCCUGGAAAAUCGAACAUCUAACUUUAGAUCUAUACUGAUAAGAAAUUUCGUCAUUUCGACAACGGUAUCUAUUUUGAAAAAUUCCCAAGUAUCGCUUUUAGUAGUUUAUCUAGUAAUAUGAUCGUUUGCUUUAAAGGGAAAAUUUCUGAAAACAGUAGCCAACCGAAUGAACGAUCGACCGAACGUAUAACGAAUUCCUCUUUACGUGAAAGACUCUCGCGAUUCGAAAUGUGCCAAUAGAGCGAGGGCGUAACAAAGAUGGACAUAGUGAGAAUGCAAGAAUGUGAAAGAAUCUUUGUCACGCACGGUUGCUUUGCACUUCCUCGAGGCGUUAUUUCGCAACCUGCGUUUAACGCGUCAGAUGUCAAGACGCCAUAAAACUUGAUAAACAUAUUGGAUGCAAACAGGAAGUUUAUGAAUCGCGGAUACGUUCCGCCAUAUGAAACGUUCGAGGCGGCAUGAAUGAAGUGAUGCAUAUGCUGUCACCGAAUGGUAUUAUUCUACGCUGAAUACAGUAGAAUUGUAAAUGUUCGCAGUGAAUCACUUUCAUCGCAUAAUUCCAGUGAUUCUUCUUGCGCCAGUUCAACCUUGAAGAUACAUAGUUGCAUCUCUAAUAGGGAACCGCUCGAGUGGUUGUAAUUAGUAUUACAAAACAAGCUUUAUUACAAGUCCGUGAUUAGCCUUGUUUCAUGUGAAAUUUCACGGAGCGUUAAUGCAUAGGUGAUAAGGAACAAUGAUUGUUUAAUUUAAUUAGCUAUCUAUGAACACAAAGUCAUAUUAAACAGUACUUUAUCGUCCCAUCGAAAUGAUACCUAAUCACGGAACAAUUACUCGGAAUGAGUCGGUAAAUGAGCAGUCUUCUAAUCAUUGUAAUCGUAAGACGAGCUGUAACCUUGAUAUAUAUGUAUACUUGUAUUAAAAUGAAACUAUGUCGCACGGUUUGUACAUAUUAGCUGAAACACGAUUUUUGGGCAGAGCCCGUGACAUUCUGACCUUAGGAUUGUUAUAGAAAUAAUCCAUAGGAAAAGUAGAAUUACGUGUACUUACCAUGGUAAAUAUAUUAUAAACGGAGUAAAAGUGACACGGGAUCUGUCUGGAGACAAUACUGGACUGGCGCACACACAAUCAAGAUAUACGAUAUCAACGCGUUAUCGUGAUCGAUGCGAUAUCUGCGAAAAUCUGGUGGUAUUGUAAAAUUCUCUUUCGGCGAAAUCCUUUGCUGUUCGUACAAGAUUUUUAAAAAUAUUAUGUACAAGAGGGUACAACACAGUAGAGAAGGCAAAACUCAAUGUCACCGAUUAUUUUUUCGCGAAACACAGCUAACGAGCCAUAAUUGUUCACGAAAAGCAUGUUCAAAACGAAGAAUGAAUUUCUCGUGGUAAAAAUCGGACGGCGUCAUGGUGAAAACAUGGAAGAGAUAGCAGGAUAAUAACACAGUUGAAACUUUCAAUUACAAGAUGGAUUGCUUCACUAAGCCACGGACUUUUCUUAACGCCGACGCAAAACUCUAUCGUUGCUCGAUAGAGAAAAGAGCCAGCAAAGCAAUGCUGAAUGCUGAUAAACCCCUCCAGCCUACGGAAGGUGUACGUGUACACACGUGUGCGCGCGGCUGACUUUGCAAGGGCAUCCGUGUCUUCCGCGUCUUCCUCUCAAGUCCCUACGUAUUACAGCACGCACGUAUUUACGUGGGUAUCGUUCAAUUUUUACAUCGCAAUCAAACGUCGAUCUACCUCUGGAGACACGUAACACAAAAGACCGGCAUACGUGAACAAUGAUCGUUUACUGAAUACACCUGUCUGUGGAAACAACUAUGUAAACAUUAUGGACGCAACUAACCCUUUCUAACACAUUUGCAACCGACAACUUCACCGAUCUCACGAUAAAAUGCUACAAGCUUUUAAAGAUAAACAUAAGAAUUUGAAGUUCCCUUUUAAACAUUAUACAUUAUAUUAUUCAUUACUAUUAAUUGAAAUAAUUACAGGAAAUUUCCUUU